rnacentral:rRNA from 1 species
UUAAGUUAGAAAGGGCGCACGGUGGAUGCCUUGACACUAGGAGUCGAUGAAGGACGGGACUAACGCCGAUAUGCUUCGGGGAGCUGUAAGUAAGCUUUGAUCCGAAGAUUUCCGAAUGGGGAAACCACCACUACGUAAUGGUAUGGUAUCCUUAUCUGAAUACAUAGGGUAAGGAAGACAGACUCAGGGAACUGAAACAUCUAAGUACCUGGAGGAAGAGAAAGCAAAUGCGAUUUCCUGAGUAGCGGCGAGCGAAACGGAACAUAGCCCAAACCAAGAGGCUUGCCUCUUGGGGUUGUAGGACAUUCUAUACGGAGUUACAAAGGAACGAGGUAGACGAAGCGACCUGGAAAGGUCCGUCGUAGAGGGUAACAACCCCGUAGUCGAAACUUCGUUCUCUCUUGAAUGUAUCCUGAGUACGGCGGAACACGUGAAAUUCCGUCGGAAUCUGGGAGGACCAUCUCCCAAGGCUAAAUACUCCCUAGUGAUCGAUAGUGAACCAGUACCGUGAGGGAAAGGUGAAAAGCACCCCGGAAGGGGAGUGAAAGAGAUCCUGAAACCGUGUGCCUACAAAUAGUCAGAGCCCGUUAACGGGUGAUGGCGUGCCUUUUGUAGAAUGAACCGGCGAGUUACGAUCCCGUGCGAGGUUAAGCUGAAGAGGCGGAGCCGCAGCAAAAGCGAGUCUGAAUAGGGCGUUUAGUACGUGGUCGUAGACCCGAAACCAGGUGAUCUACCCAUGUCCAGGGUGAAGUUCAGGUAACACUGAAUGGAGGCCCGAACCCACGCACGUUGAAAAGUGCGGGGAUGAGGUGUGGGUAGCGGAGAAAUUCCAAUCGAACCUGGAGAUAGCUGGUUCUCCCCGAAAUAGCUUUAGGGCUAGCCUUAAGUGUAAGAGUCUUGGAGGUAGAGCACUGAUUGGACUAGGGGUCCUCAUCGGAUUACCGAAUUCAGUCAAACUCCGAAUGCCAAUGACUUAUCCUUAGGAGUCAGACUGCGAGUGAUAAGAUCCGUAGUCAAAAGGGAAACAGCCCAGACCGCCAGCUAAGGUCCCAAAGUGUGUAUUAAGUGGAAAAGGAUGUGGAGUUGCUUAGACAACUAGGAUGUUGGCUUAGAAGCAGCCACCAUUUAAAGAGUGCGUAAUAGCUCACUAGUCGAGUGACUCUGCGCCGAAAAUGUACCGGGGCUAAAUACACCACCGAAGCUGCGGAUUGAUACCAAUGGUAUCAGUGGUAGGGGAGCGUUCUAAGGACAGUGAAGUCAGACCGUAAGGACUGGUGGAGUGCUUAGAAGUGAGAAUGCCGGUAUGAGUAGCGAAAGACGGGUGAGAAUCCCGUCCACCGAAUGCCUAAGGUUUCCUGAGGAAGGCUCGUCCGCUCAGGGUUAGUCAGGACCUAAGCCGAGGCCGACAGGCGUAGGCGAUGGACAACAGGUUGAUAUUCCUGUACCACCUCUUUAUCGUUUGAGCAAUGGAGGGACGCAGAAGGAUAGAAGAAGCGUGCGAUUGGUUGUGCACGUCCAAGCAGUUAGGCUGAUAAGUAGGCAAAUCCGCUUAUCGCGUAUGCUGAGCUGUGAUGGGGAAGCUCCUUAUGGAGCGAAGUCUUUGAUUCCCCGCUGCCAAGAAAAGCUUCUAGCGAGAUAAAAGGUGCCUGUACCGCAAACCGACACAGGUAGGCGAGGAGAGAAUCCUAAGGUGUGCGAGAGAACUCUGGUUAAGGAACUCGGCAAAAUGACCCCGUAACUUCGGGAGAAGGGGUGCUUUCUUAACGGAAAGCCGCAGUGAAUAGGCCCAAGCGACUGUUUAGCAAAAACACAGCUCUCUGCGAAGCCGUAAGGCGAAGUAUAGGGGGUGACACCUGCCCGGUGCUGGAAGGUUAAGGAGAGGGGUUAGCGUAAGCGAAGCUCUGAACUGAAGCCCCAGUAAACGGCGGCCGUAACUAUAACGGUCCUAAGGUAGCGAAAUUCCUUGUCGGGUAAGUUCCGACCCGCACGAAAGGUGUAACGAUUUGGGCACUGUCUCAACCAGAGACUCGGUGAAAUUAUAGUACCUGUGAAGAUGCAGGUUACCCGCGACAGGACGGAAAGACCCCGUGGAGCUUUACUGUAGCCUGAUAUUGAAUUUUGGUACAGUUUGU